GUGAUUCGUGUUUUUGUAAUUGGAAUUGUAGUGGUGACCUACGUUAGGUCUCACGCUUCGAAACUGCAAUAUCUUUGAUCGAUCGAUUUAUAAAUUAGUUUAAUUUAUUAGGAGAACGCAAAUACAUCCUGAGUAUUGGAUUACUACAAAAAUCGUUUAUUACGUGCUGUUUACUUAAGGGAAUCGCCGAGGGUUACGCAAGGCCGACGCGAGGUGGUCGCGGACUGUGAGGGGCAGAGUGGUGGGGCGGGGCGGGCGGUGAAAGGGUUUGGGCGGGGCGGCAUGCGCGGCGCCGCCCACUGCGCAUUUCACCACCGCAGCCGACGACGCUCCGCCACGAGCCUCGUGCGUCCUACUUCCCUCGGCAGGACUUGCAAGCGCGGCGCGAGACGCUGCGAGACGCGGUAGAGGCGCAGUAUCCAAGCGCGUUUGUUCCGGCUCCGGAAUAUUCCGGUCCUCCUUGAGCCGCACCGCUGAAUACGGGCCCGAUCGCAAUCUUUUAGAUCAUCGCAUAUAUUAUACGAAUAUAGCUUGUAAAUAUAUUA